rnacentral:rRNA from 1 species
UCGUGGAGUGAUUCGUCUUGUUAAUUCAGAUAACGAGCGAGACCUUAACCUGCUAAUUAGCUAGAGAGGGGCUUGCCCCGUCAUCGAACAGGACCUGUUAGGGUUCGAUAGAUUCUCUAGAUCAUACUAUUAAUGAUAGUAACUUCUUAGAGGCACAGCACUCGCACAAUAGAGUGAGGAAGUUUAAGGCGAUAACG